UGGGUGAGUAACGCGUGGGUAACCUGCCCUUAAGUCUGGGAUACCAUUUGGAAACAGAUGCUAAUACCGGAUAAAAGCUACCUUCGCAUGAAAGAAGUUUAAAAGGCGGCGUAAGCUGUCGCUAAAGGAUGGACCUGCGAUGCAUUAGCUAGUUGGUAAGGUAACGGCUUACCAAGGCGAUGAUGCAUAGCCGAGUUGAGAGACUGAUCGGCCACAUUGGGACUGAGACACGGCCCAAACUCCUACGGGAGGCAGCAGGG
rnacentral:rRNA from 1 species